rnacentral:rRNA from 1 species
AGAAAAACCUCCGAGUGACUAAAAUUUAGAUCUACUGAUCAAAAUGUAGUGUCACUUAUUGAUCCAAAGUACUUGA